rnacentral:tRNA from 1 species
GAUUUUAUAAUUUAAAUAAAAUAAUAAAUUGCAAAUUUAUAAUUAUCUUUAUAGAUUAAAAUCU